CCUCUGCGCGCUGGGACUGGGGGUGGGUCUCGGACGGCGUGCGGACUCCCGAGGGCAGAAACGGGCAGCGUUUCCGGCGUCGGGGUGCGGGGUCCAGACCUCGCCGAGACCGGCUCGGGGCUGGCGGAGCCCGGGGAGCGGCUCAGCUGUGUCAGCCCUCUGAAUUCUCCAGUGUGGAGGGAAGGAGACAGGGAGGAGGCCACUUGUCAGCAUUCACAAAGCUUGUUGAGUGCCGCAGACUAGAAAGGAGGGGUGGGCCCUGCCCAAAAGGUGACCAGAACUUCUCUGGACCUGGAUGCCCAGACCCUCUUUCCAUCCUGGAGGACUGGUAACUUAUACCAUCAGCUGCCCAGGCCUGGGCUGGUUUCAGAUUCCUGACCAUUUCUGGUUUCAGAUUUGUGAUCGUUCCUGAUGCCUGGAGGGACAUUCUGAAAUCCAGGGAGACACGAAAAUGGAACCAGUUAUCCUGGCUUUCCACUUGCCAGCAGUGUGAUUCUGGGGGAUUCCCUUCUCCUCUCUGAGCCUCAGUUUUCUCCUCUGUAAAAUAGGAUUUGUAAUUCCUGCCUACCCCCCAGUAUUGAUGUGAAGAUUUAAUGAGUUAAUGUACACAUGGGCCCUCUGUAAGCUAUGAACCACUGGAAAAUGUGAAGCGUUGCUCCAUUUAUAUGAAGUUCAAAGCACUUUGAUGCUGUCAGAAGUCUGGCCAGUGUUGCCUUUGGGGAGGGAAUGACUGGAAAGGGGGCAACAGGGGGACUUCUGGCUGCUGGUAAGGUGGUUUUGGGAUGGAAGGACUGGGGACAGGGCUGUGCUCAGUUUGUGAAGACGCCUUAGGAUCUGUGCAUCUUUUUCUGUAUAUGUUAUACUACGACAACAUGUUCCCAAAAAAAGAAAAGAAAGGUCAGGCAUCCUGACCACAUUUUAUUCACUCACACGAUGGGCAUUCUGGAAUGCUCUAUCAACGAGGCAGGAACUGGGCUGAGUAUUGGGGAUACAACAGUGAACAUGAUAUGAUCCUGACUCUGUGAAGAAAAGAGGAGAAAGGGCGUGGCUUUCUCACCUCUGAAGGAGGCACAUUGGCAGGGGAGGGGCUUGCCCAGAGCUACUCCCUGGGCUAGCAGAAGAACCAGGACUAGAAUGAAGGACUCCUAGUGCUGUGGCUGAGUCUCUUCCAUUCCACCAGGCUGCCUGGGAGAGAGAGGCCCUGGUCUUAUGCUGCUCAGGGGAGAACAGUGAGAAGGUUUGCUGCUAACUGUGACCCUAACCCCCAGCUCCUUGAGGAUCCUCAGAACUCACCUCCACCAAACAGUCUUCUAGGAACAAUUCUAUUCUAUAGAGACUAUGAUUACCACCCCAGCCCCAUGUUACAGUGGUUAAGAAUCCGCCUGCCAAUGCAGGGGACACGGGUUCGAGCCCUGGGCUGGGAAGACCCCACAUGCCGCGGAGCUAUUAAGCCCGUGCGCCACAACUGCUGAGCCCGUGCGCCACAACUACUGAGCCCGUAUGCCACAACUACUGAGCCCAUGCGCCACAACUACUGAGCCUGUGUGCCACAGCUCCUGAGCCUGUGUACCACAACUACUGAAGCCUGCUCGCCUAGAGCCCGUGCUCCGCAACAAGAGAAGCCACCGCAAUGAGAAGCCCACGCACCACGAUGAAAAGUAGCCCCCGCUUGCCGCAACUACAGAAAGCCUGCGCGCAGCAUCAAAGACCCAAGGCAGCCAAAAAUAAAUUUUUUUUAAAA